rnacentral:rRNA from 1 species
UACGGGGGGGGCAAGCGUUGUUCGGAAUUACUGGGCGUAAAGGGCUCGUAGGCGGCCAACUAAGUCAGACGUGAAAUCCCUCGGCUUAACCGGGGAACUGCGUCUGAUACUGGAUGGCUUGAAUCCGGGAGAGGGAUGCGGAAUUCCAGGUGUAGCGGUGAAAUGCGUAGAUAUCUGGAGGAACACCGGGUGGCGAAGGCGACAUCCUGGACCGGUAUUGACGCUGAGUGAGCGAAAGCCAGGGGAGCAAACGGG